AAAGAAAAAACACAUACACAGUUGGUCCAACUACCAAAGGAAGAAGAAAGAAGAAAUUUCAACUGCUCACAAUUCAACUGAGGCAACAUCUAAAGAAGAAAAUGUUCAGUUCAGUUUUUUGGCUGGGACCUGGCUGGGAAUCCACAAUCCUGACUCCCAUUCAUCCGUCUCUGACAUCAGAACUUUGCUGGAUAAAAACAGUUUUGAAGUAAGCGGCAUGGGGAGAUUUUAUUUUCCCGCCCACUGUAGCAGGCAUGGGGAAUCUGUUGGUGAAACGGUGAAACCAGAAAGCUCAUUAUGAUACUGGGCAGCCUUGAUCAGUCAUUACAGAUAUCAUUUUGGAAA